CCUACGGGUGGCAGCAGUGGGGAAUAUUGCACAAUGGGCGCAAGCCUGAUGCAGCCAUGCCGCGUGUGUGAAGAAGGCCUUCGGGUUGUAAAGCACUUUCAGCGGGGAGGAAGGCGGUGAGGUUAAUAACCUCAUCGAUUGACGUUACCCGCAGAAGAAGCACCGGCUAACUCCGUGCCAGCAGCCGCGGUAAUACGGAGGGUGCAAGCGUUAAUCGGAAUUACUGGGCGUAAAGCGCACGCAGGCGGUCUGUCAAGUCGGAUGUGAAAUCCCCGGGCUCAACCUGGGAACUGCAUUCGAAACUCGCAGGCUAGAGUCUUGUAGAGGGGGGUAGAAUUCCAGGUGUAGCGGUGAAAUGCGUAGAGAUCUGGAGGAAUACCGGUGGCGAAGGCGGCCCCCUGGACAAAGACUGACGCUCAGGUGCGAGAGCGUGGGGAGCAAACAGGAUUAGAUACCCGAGUAGUC
rnacentral:rRNA from 1 species